rnacentral:misc_RNA from 1 species
AUCAUCUGCAGCAAUGCGAUUUGACUCGAGUCUUUUUGACCGAGUUUAAAGGAAGCUAGAGAAUGGUCGGUUUGGACUAGCCCGAGUGCUAAGCAUUCUUGGGUCUAGCGCUGGAUUGUCCAUUACAUCUAUCUUUUUGUU